GGACCUGAGGGAGCAAAACUAACUUGACCUCCUGCAGGACAGGCCUGGUGAAGGGUUGAUGUCUGGUCUGGGUUGAGGUGGAUGGGGCGGAGGUGUCUCCGUCUCUGUACUGUGAGGUGGAUGGGGCGGAGGUGUCUCCGUCUCUGUACUGUGAGGUGGAUGGGGCGGAGGUGUCUCUGUACUGUGAGGUGGAUGGGGCGGAGGUGUCUCUGUACUGUGAGGUGGAUGGGGCGGAGGUGUCUCUGUACUGUGAGGUGGAUGGGGCGGAGGUGUCUCUGUACUGUGAGGUGGAUGGGGCGGAGGCGUCUCUGUACUGUGAGGUGGAUGGGGCGGAGGCGUCUCGGUCUCUGUACUGUGAGGUGGAUGGGGCGGAGGCGUCUCGGUCUCUGUACUGUGAGGUGGAUGGGGCGGAGGCGUCUCCGUCUCUGUACUGUGAGGUGGAUGGGGCGGAGGCGUCUCUGUACUGUGAGGUGGAUGGGGCGGAGGCGUCUCUGUACUGUGAGGUGG